rnacentral:lncRNA from 1 species
UUUUAAUCAUAAAGUGAUGCUGGAUUUUGUCAAAUGGUUUUUCUGCAUCUAUUGAAAUAAUCAUGUGAUUUUUGUUUUGAAUUCUAUUUAUGUGGUGUAUCACAUUUGUUGACGUGUGUGUGUUAAACCAUCCCUGCAUCCCUGGUAUGCAACCCACUUGAUUAUGGUGGAUUAUCUUUUUGACAUGUUGUAGUUGAUCAUUGCAACUUGCCAAUCAAGAUCACAGGCUAAGAGAGUAUGAAAUUGUUCCUUGCUUAAAGGUAAGAAAAGAGUAGCAGAGUCAUAUCGAAAAAGUGUCUUCUUUAUGCCCUACUGAAGGGAGUGAAGUUGGGGGAGGAACUCCUUCCUGUUGUUCUGCUUUCUGUGUUCCCUUUUCCUUUAAAUUUUCCGAAUUCCCUUCAGGUGAAGAAAAUGGGCAAUCUGACUCACCACUCAAAAUAUAACACUUGAUUACAUAUGUAGGUUUUGAGUUUCUGGAACAUGUAUUUUAUCCUUACAACUAUCCCAUGAGGUAGAAAAUCUACUGAAAAGAUGCCUAUCAUCGUAGUCAGCAAUGACAAUGCCACCAAAGGCUAAAGUUUCAUUUUAAAUUCCUUUAUACCUUCAAAUUCAAUAAAAUUUUGAAAAAAGGUCUUCUUUAUUAAAAAUAACAACACACACACAGAGGUAAAUAAGCAGUAUACAUUUAAAGCUACAGUUUUUUUAGAUCAAGUUAACUCUAUAAAGCAGUUUUUCCAUGGAGCUAGGGAUAGUUAUGCAUUGUGGAUCCUGAGGUUAAUUUAUUUCCAGCUC